rnacentral:rRNA from 1 species
GACGAACGCUGGCGGCGUGCUUAACACAUGCAAGUCGAACGGUGAAGCGCCUUCCUUUUUGGUGGGUGUGGAUGAGUGGCGAACGGGUGAGUAACACGUGAGUAACCUGCCCCCUUCUUCUGGAUAACCGCAUGAAAGUGUGGCUAAUACGGGAUAUUCUGGGUCUGUCGCAUGAUGGGUCUGGGAAAGAUAUUGUUUCGGUGGGGGAGGGGCUCGCGGCCUAUCAGCUUGUUGGUGGGGUGAUGGCCUACCAAGGCGGUGACGGGUAGCCGGCCUGAGAGGGUGGACGGUCACACUGUGACUGAGGCACUGCCCGGACUCCUACGGGAGGCAGCAGUGGGGAGUAUUGCACAAUGGGCGCAAGCCUGAUGCAGCGACGCCGCGUGAGGGAUGGAGGCCUUCGGUUUGUGAACCUCUUUCGCCAGUGAAGCAGGCCUGCCUCGUUUGUGGGUGGGUUGACGGUAGCUGGAGAAGAAGCGCCGGCUAACUACGUG